GCGAGCGCGGGGAACACCCCCUCUUUCCCCGCGGAGCGCCUGUUAUGGCGGCGCACGGUGUGAUGGAGAGGAGAUUUUCAUUGGUGCCAAGUACAUUGUACAUUAAGCACCUCAUGGAAGGACCAUCCCAAGUAGAAGAAUACUGGGUACACACAAGUGGAUUUUCCUGAAAGUUGUAGUGGCAUGAACAAUUUCUAGUAUUGACAAUGUGACCUGUCCUGAAGAAAGAUUUCCUCGCAACAGGAACUAAAACAG